rnacentral:rRNA from 1 species
CAGUCGCCGCGGUAGUACGAAGGGGGCUAGCGUUGUUCGGAUUAACUGGGCGUAAAGGGUGCGUAGGCGGGGUUUCAAGUCAGGGGUGAAAUGCCGAGGCUCAACUUCGGAACUGCCUUUGAUACUGGAACUCUUGAGUCCGGGAGAGGUGAGUGGAACUGCGAGUGUAGAGGUGAAAUUCGUAGAUAUUCGCAAGAACACCAGUGGCGAAGGCGGCUCACUGGCCCGGUACUGACGCUGAGGCACGAAAGCGUGGGGAGCAAACAGGAUUAGAUACCCCCGUAGUCCCUGUCUCUUAUAC